rnacentral:rRNA from 1 species
CCUACGGGUGGCAGCAGUGGGGAAUAUUGCACAAUGGGGGAAACCCUGAUGCAGCAACGCCGCGUGAGUGAGGAAGUAUUUCGGUAUGUAAAGCUCUAUCAGCAGGGAAUAGAAAAGACGGUACCUGAAAAAGAAGCCCCGGCUAACUACGUGCCAGCAGCCGCGGUAAUACGUAGGGAGCGAGCGUUGUCCGGAAUUACUGGGUGUAAAGGGAGCGUAGGCGGGGAUGCAAGUUGGGGGUCAAAACUACCGGCUUAACUGGUAGUCGCACUCAAAACUGCAGCACUUGAGUGAAGUAGAGGCAGGCGGAAUUCCUAGUGUAGCGGUGAAAUGCGUAGAUAUUAGGAGGAACACCAGUGGCGAAGGCGGCCUGCUGGGCUUUUACUGACGCUGAGGCUCGAAAGUGUGGGGAGCAAACAGGAUUAGAUACCCGAGUAGUC